rnacentral:lncRNA from 1 species
GACAGUUUACUGGUCACCUGCACUAACAGCCUGAGAGAAAAGGACACUGCAUAUCACAGAGAGAUGCAUAGAUGUUACACUCAGAAAGAGAGUGAACAACUAGAAGAUGUGGAAGAAAAUUCCAAGGGCCAAUUUUGAAACAAACCAGGCAGAGACCCAGAUGCAGAAUCCUGCAGGCUGAGGGAUGUUAGGAAGAGUUAGCCCACCACUGCUGCGCUGAAACCAGGAUGACGCAAACUGGGCCUCAGGCCAGUAGAUCAAUAAACCAAACUCCCUGUCACCUCAGACUCUGCACCUGUUAAAGCCCUGUAAAGAGCCGACAUGUAAGGACUUAUACUGACUGGAUACAGAGAAUAUGGAGCAAAUCAAACGUAUUUAAAUAGUAAAUUAUCAUAUUGUUAUAAAUAAAAAUUUACAUUGCAUUUCCUUUUAGAAUGUUACUUGGAUAUAUAUUCUUCAACAUUUACAAAUGCUGAUGCUUCAUGUACUUAAAAACGGAAUAAUUUUUUU